rnacentral:rRNA from 1 species
GAUGAACGCUGGCGGCGUGCCUAAUACAUGCAAGUCGAGCGAACAGACGAGGAGCUUGCUCCUCUGACGUUAGCGGCGGACGGGUGAGUAACACGUGGAUAACCUACCUAUAAGACUUGGAUAACUUCGGGAAACCGGAGCUAAUACCGGAUAAUAUAUUUAACCGCAUGGUUCAAUAGUGAAAUACGGUUUUUCUGUCUCUUAUAGAUGGAUCCGCGCCGCAUUAGCUAGUUGGUAAGGUAACGGCUUACCAAGGCAACGAUGCGUAGCCGACCUGAGAGGGUGAUCGGCCACACUGGAACUGAGACACGGUCCAGACUACUACGGGAGGCAGCAGUAGGGAAUCUUACGCAAUGGGCGAAAGCCUGACGGAGCAACGCCGCGUGAGUGAUGAAGGUCUUCGGAUCGUAAAACUCUGUUAUUAGGGAAGAACAAAUGUGUAAGUAACUAUGCACGUCUUGACGGUACCUAAUCAGAAAGCCACGGCUAACUACGUG